rnacentral:rRNA from 1 species
CGGUCCUACGGGAGGCAGCAGUGAGGAAUAUUGGUCAAUGGGCGGAAGCCUGAACCAGCCAAGUCGCGUGAGGGAAUAAGGCCCUACGGGUCGUAAACCUCUUUUGCCGGGGAGCAAGGGCCGGGACGCGUCCCGGCCCGGAGAGUACCCGGAGAAAAAGCAUCGGCUAACUCCGUGCCAGCAGCCGCGGCAAUACGGAGGAUGCGAGCGUUAUCCGGAUUUAUUGGGUUUAAAGGGAGCGUAGGCGGGCUUUUAAGUCAGCGGUAAAAAGUCGGGGCUCAACCCCGUCCGGCCGUUGAAACUGC